AUUGAACGCUGGCGGCAUGCUUUACACAUGCAAGUCGAACGGCAGCACGGGUGCUUGCACCUGGUGGCGAGUGGCGAACGGGUGAGUAAUGCAUCGGAACGUGCCCAUGAGUGGGGGAUAGCCCGGCGAAAGCCGGAUUAAUACCGCAUACGUCCUUAGGGGGAAGGCGGGGGAUCUUCGGACCUCGCGCUAUUGGAGCGGCCGAUGUCGGAUUAGCUAGUAGGUGAGGUAAAGGCUCACCUAGGCGACGAUCCGUAGCUGGUCUGAGAGGAUGAUCAGCCACACUGGGACUGAGACACGGCCCAGACUCCUACGGGAGGCAGCAGUGGGGAAUUUGGACAAUGGGCGCAAGCCUGAUCCAGCCAUGCCGCGUGAGUGAAGAAGGCCUCGGUGUAAGCGUCUUCAGUGGAAGAAAUAGACGCUGUUAUAGAUGGCGUUGAUGACGGUACACCAGAAGAAGACACCGGCUACU
rnacentral:rRNA from 1 species